ACGGGGAAUCAGGGUUCGAUUCCGGAGAGGGAGCCUGAGAAAUGGCUACCACAUCCAAGGACGGCAGCAGGCGCGAAAAUUACCCACUCCCAGCACGGGGAGGUAGUGACGAAAAAUACGGAUACGGGACUCAAUUGAGGCUCCGUAAUUCGAAUGAGUACAAUUUAAAUCCUUUAACGAGGACCAAUUGGAGGGCAAGUCUGGUGCCAGCAGCCGCGGUAACUCCAGCUCCAAAAGCGUAUAUUAAAGUUGCUGCAGUUAAAAAGCUCGUAGUUGGAUCUGGGUAGUGCGAUCGCAUGCUGUUGCUUGUUCACGGUCUUGGUUACGAUCAGGGCAGUGGUCAGCUCGGCGUAGUGGUUGUGCAACCUUUCAGCCGUGUCUGUGUUUUAUUAAACAGGUGUCGAUGGGUUAAUGAGUAUUGUAUCUUAUUGACCUGUUGGCAUGCUUUCGGAUGCCUUUAAACGGGUGUCGGGGGCGGACGGCAUCUUUACUUUGAACAAAUUUGAGUGCUCAAAGCAGGCCUAUGCGCCUGAAAAUUCUUGCAUGGAAUAAUGAAAUAGGACUUCGGUUCUAUUUUGUUGGUUUUCGGAUCCGAAGUAAUGGUUAAGAGGGACAGACGGGGGCAUUUGUAUGGCGGUGUUAGAGGUGAAAUUCUGGGAUCGCCGCCAGACAAACUACAGCGAAAGCAUUUGCCAAGAAUGUUUUCAUUGAUCAGGAGCGAAAGUCAGAGUUUCGAAGACGAUCAGAUACCGUCGUAGUUCUGACCAUAAACGAUGCCAACUGACGAUCCGCGUUGGUUCUAUAAUUGACAUCGCGGGCAGUCCCCGGGAAACCUUUAAGUCUUUGGGCUCCGGGGGGAGUAUGGUUGCAAAGCUGAAACUUAAAGGAAUUGACGGAAGGGCACCACCAGGAGUGGAGCCUGCGGUUUAAUUCGACUCAACACGGGAAAACUCACCCGGCCCGGACACUGUGAGGAUUGACAGAUUGAAAGCUCUUUCUUGAUUCGGUGGUUGGUGGUGCAUGGCCGUUCUUAGUUGGUGGAGCGAUUUGUCUGGUUAAUUCCGAUAACGAACGAGACUUUAACCUA
rnacentral:rRNA from 1 species